CUGCAUCUACGGACAGACCUUGAGCAGUCUGCUGUUCUCUUGGUUUGCACUAGGGGAUGAGAAAGAAAAAAAUCCUUUUGCGCUUUCUGUCUGGUGGCAGCCCACGGUUGAAUAGUGGCUUACAUCA
rnacentral:snoRNA from 1 species